rnacentral:ncRNA from 2 species
CGAAUCCGCGCGGGAGAGUCCUCAGCAGCUGUGAGCUGGGGCGCCGAAGGAGCAAGUUCCUCCCUUGAAUCUCUCAGGCCCCGUACCGCGCGGACGAG